GGGGGUGCCCUGGGGGUGCACCGAGCCGAGCGAGCCGAGACCACAGCCAGGUGGUGCCAGCGGAAGACCCCCCUUGCAGAGUUCCCCCGCUGCGCCACCUCUUUCACAGGGACUUUUAUGAGUGAAAAAAAGUUGCUGGGCCCUGUCCUGUGUCCGAGUGAGCAGCACUCCCCUUCCUCUCCGCUCAACGACUAGAGCACCCAGAGCGUUGCGGAGAAGAAUGGGUUGACAAUGCACUGGCGUCCUCACCCCGGCAGGAUAUGCUGCCAGGAGGCGCAUUUCCUGGACUGUAUUUCAAGGUUGUGGCCAUUGUCACUCAAACCGGGAAACUGGACAUUCACAGGAACUUUUCAUUUGUCAGGAUGCUUCAUCUUCCAAAGAAGACACCUGAGAAUUUCAAAUAAUAGCCCAUCACUUGUGCUUAAAAAAAUAAAAAAGGAGGAGGUGUUGGAAGCAGGGAAUGAAUUAUGGUUUUUGAACUGUCCAGCGACAGAAAUGAUGCCCCUCCUGAGAAUUCUCUGGGCAGAGGCAUUGAUUUGAGACUGUCCAGCUGCUAUGGUGACACCCUGUUCAA